UUUUCCUGAAAUAACAUAGACAAAUACAAAAGUAAUCCCUCUCAAUCAUCACUUAUGACCAACUAGAAGUGUGUGCAAG